CUCCAGCUGACGAGUCCCAAAUAGGACGAAACACGCGUCCUGGAU
rfam:Schistosoma mansoni strain Puerto Rico chromosome 2, complete genome